UGCCCUUGACUCUGGGAUAAGCCUGGGAAACUGGGUCUAAUACUGGAUACUACCUCUUACCGCAUGGUGGGUGGUGGAAAGGGUUUUACUGGUUUUGGAUGGGCUCACGGCCUAUCAGCUUGUUGGUGGGGUAAUGGCUCACCAAGGCGACGACGGGUAGCCGGCCUGAGAGGGUGACCGGCCACACUGGGACUGAGACACGGCCCAGACUCCUACGGGAGGCAGCAGUGGGGAAUAUUGCACAAUGGGCGGAAGCCUGAUGCAGCGACGCCGCGUGAGGGAUGACGGCCUUCGGGUUGUAAACCUCUUUCAGUAGGGAAGAAGCGAGAGUGACGGUACCUGCAGAAGAAGCGCCGGCUAACUACGUGCCAGCAGCCGCGGUAAUACGUAGGGCGCAAGCGUUGUCCGGAAUUAUUGGGCGUAAAGAGCUCGUAGGCGGUUUGUCGCGUCUGCUGUGAAAGCCCGGGGCUCAACCCCGGGUCUGCAGUGGGUACGGGCAGACUAGAGUGCAGUAGGGGAGACUGGAAUUCCUGGUGUAGCGGUGAAAUGCGCAGAUAUCAGGAGGAACACCGAUGGCGAAGGCAGGUCUCUGGGCUGUUACUGACGCUGAGGAGCGAAAGCAUGGGGAGCGAACAGGAUUAGAUACCCUGGUAGUCCAUGCCGUAAACGUUGGGCACUAGGUGUGGGGGACAUUCCACGUUUUCCGCGCCGUAGCUAACGCAUUAAGUGCCCCGCCUGGGGAGUACGGCCGCAAGGCUAAAACUCAAAGGAAUUGACGGGGGCCCGCACAAGCGGCGGAGCAUGCGGAUUAAUUCGAUGCAACGCGAAGAACCUUACCAAGGCUUGACAUUCACCGGACCGCCCCAGAGAUGGGGUUUCCCUUCGGGGCUGGUGGACAGGUGGUGCAUGGUUGUCGUCAGCUCGUGUCGUGAGAUGUUGGGUUAAGUCCCGCAACGAGCGCAACCCUCGUUCUAUGUUGCCAGCACGUGAUGGUGGGGACUCAUAGGAGACUGCCGGGGUCAACUCGGAGGAAGGUGGGGAUGACGUCAAAUCAUCAUGCCCCUUAUGUCUUGGGCUUCACGCAUGCUACAAUGGCCGGUACAAAGGGUUGCGAUACUGUGAGGUGGAGCUAAUCCCAAAAAGCCGGUCUCAGUUCGGAUUGAGGUCUGCAACUCGACCUCAUGAAGUCGGAGUCGCUAGUAAUCGCAGAUCAGCAACGCUGCGGUGAAUACGUUCCCGGGCCUUGUACACACCGCCCGUCAAGUCACGAAAGUUGGUAACACCCGAAGCCGGUGGCCUAACCCCUUGUGGGAGGGAGCCGUCGAAGGUGGGACUGGCGAUUGGGACUAAGUCGUAACAAGGUAGCCGUACCGGAAGGUGCGGCUGGAUCACCUCCUUU
rnacentral:rRNA from 1 species